rnacentral:tmRNA from 1 species
GGGGAUGCAUAUGGUAUCGACGGAGAUAUUUAGGCAUAGACUGCAGGUAGUGGGCACACUUUAAAAUGCAGUUUAAACAUAAACGCAAAAGAAAAAAAUAAUACAUCUUUUGGUAAUGCUUUAGCAUUUGCCUAAACUUAAAUUUAAGAUGGCCAAACUUUAACUUUCUUGCGUGUUAAAGAUGCGGUUCAUAAGAGCAAGAUAUAUUAUAAGUAUUCUUAUGGCUUAUAAUGAACUUUAAAUAAGAUUAGGUAGGUUUAGGAAGUUGGCUCUCCAUAAAACUUACUGAAAGAUAAACCAACUAAACCUGUAGAGGUUUAUGUACUAUUAUCUUCGGACAGGGGUUCGACUCCCCUCAUCUCCACCA